UGAUUCCCUAGUACGCGAGUGAAGAGAAGAGCUCAAAGUGGAACCUGUUGGCCUAGCUAAACCGGAUUGUAGACUGUAGAAGUGUUUUCCAGGCAAGCCGAGUAAAUAAGUCCUUUGGAACAGGGCAUCAUAGAGGGUGAGAAUCCCGUCUUUGGCUUGAGCAUUUGCCUUUUGUGAUACGCUUUCAAAGAGUCAGGUUGUUUGGGAAUGCAGCCUAAAUUGGGUGGUAAAUCUCACCUAAAGCUAAAUAUUGGCGAGAAACCGAUAGCGAACAAGUACCGUGAGGGAAAGAUGAAAAGAACUUUGAAAAGAGAGUUAAACAGUAUGUGAAAUUGUUAAAAGGGAACCGUUUGGAGCCAGACUGGCUUGUCUGUAAUCAAUCUAGGCUUCGGCCUGGAUGCACUUGCAGGCUAUGCCUGCCAACGACAAUUUGACUUGAGGGAAAAAACUAGGGGAAAUGUGGCCCACUUGUGGGUGUUAUAGUCCCUUAGAAAAUACCUUGGGUUGGAUUGAGGAACGCAGCGAAUGCUUAUUGGCGAGUUUUCCAGGAAGGUUUUCUGAGGUACUACGGUAUCAAGGUUGAUCUUUUUGGUUAUACUUCUAUUCGCUUAGGUUGUGGCUUAAUGACUCUAAAUGACCCGUCUU
rnacentral:rRNA from 2 species